GAGUUUGAUCGUGGCUCAGAUUGAGCGCUGGCGGAAUGCUUUACACAUGCAAGUCGAGCGGCAGCGCGGGGCAACCUGGCGGCGAGCGGCGAACGGGUGAGUAAUGCAUCGGAACAUGUCCAUGUCGUGGGGGAUAGCCCGGCGAAAGCCGGAUUAAUACCGCAUACGCCCGAGAGGGAAAGUGGGGACCGCAAGGCCUCACGCGAUUGGGUGGCCGAUGUCCGAUUAGCUAGUUGGCGGGGUAAG
rnacentral:rRNA from 1 species